AACGCACUUGGCACCCGCUGGGCCUUCCAGCGGGUAUACCUGUUUGAGCAUCAUAAACACCGAUUGCCGCAAGGCAGAGCUGGGCGUCAGGGCAGCACAUGCCGUGUCGCCUUAAAGGAAGCAGUGCGGGUUGCGACCUUGGUCGUCGGCCGCUGUGUGCUAGCAGGACCGUGGUCUUGACAGCGCAGCGGACGGCGGCGCCGAGGGCGUGGCACAACCGUGCUUGCCGCGCGGCCAGCCUUUCACGAGGCCGGCCGGGCACUACUAUCAUCUAUGAUCUCAAAUCAGGCAAGACUACCCGCUGAACUUAA
rnacentral:misc_RNA from 1 species